rnacentral:rRNA from 1 species
CACGUAUUUAGCCGGAGCUUCUUAGUCAGGUACCGUCAUUUUCUUCCCUGCUGAUAGAGCUUUACAUACCGAAAUACUUCUUCACUCACGCGGCGUUGCUGCAUCAGGGUUUCCCCCAUUGUGCAAUAUUCCCCACUGCUGCCUCCCGUAGGAGUUUGGGCCGUGUCUCAGUCCCAAUGUGGCCGUUCACUCUCUCAAGCCGGCUACUGAUCGUUGUCUUGGUAGGCCGUUACCCUGCCAACUAACUAAUCAGACGCGGGCCCAUCCUGUACCACCGGAGUUUUUCCUGCUGUACCAUGCGGUACUGUAGGCUUAUGCGGUAUUAGCAGCCGUUUCCAGCUGUUGUCCCCCUGUACAGGGCAGGUUACCCACGCGUUACUCACCCGUCCGCCACUCAGUCCUGCGCGUCUUCCCUCCGGAGAGUUCCGUCACACAGUCUUCGUUCGACUUGCAUGUGUUAGGCACGCCGCCAGCGUUCAUCCUGAGCCAGGAUCAAACUCU